rnacentral:rRNA from 1 species
UACAGAGGGUGCAAGCGUUACUCGGAAUUACUGGGCGUAAAGCGUGCGUAGGUGGUUUGUUAAGUCUGUUGUGAAAGCCCCGGGCUCAACCUGGGAAUGGCAAUGGAUACUGGCAAGCUAGAGUGCGGUAGAGGGUAGUGGAAUUCCCGGUGUAGCGGUGAAAUGCGUAGAGAUCGGGAGGAACACCAGUGGCGAAGGCGGCUACCUGGACCAGCACUGACACUGAGGCACGAAAGCGUGGGGAGCAAACAGG